rnacentral:tRNA from 1 species
GGAUAGAGCUCAGUUGGUAGAGUGCUUGCCUUGCAUGCACAAGGCCCUGGGUUCAAUCCCCAGCACCA